AUGGGGAGCAAUGCUGGCGCCUUUAAUAAAACCACUUGGGAAUAUCAACAUGAUACGUAAGUGGCUGAAGGGUCCUGAAUUUUCCCAGUGAUAUUGAUAUAUCAUAAAAUGAAUGGGAUCUGGCAAUAAUUUAAGAAGUGAAAUGCUAAAGAUACCAAGAAGUGAGAUGCUGGAGUUGUGAUUACCAACAGUGAACUGUGACAUUUUACUUUGCAUCAGAAGGAUGUGAGAACACUUCAGGAAGGCAGCCAUGUAUAAGGCAGGAACAGAACUCUCAUCAGAAAACAAACCCUCUGGACCUUGAUAUGGAACUUUCAGCUUCUAGAAAUGUGAGAAGUUAUUCAAAGGCAAGAAUUUCAGCGAGAGUUGGAUUCAUUCUUGGAUAUCAGUGAACCAUCCUGAACUUCCUACGCGUCAUUUCUCUGGCUCUCUAAACCCAGUGAACAGAUGCUAGCUCUAAUGUAUAUCAGGACAUCCUUAUUUUGUCACUGCUGGGGUACCACAGCCUUGCCAUCUAAUUUGCUGGUCUUUCUCCUCUAUUGAAAUUAAUAUUUGAAAUGUGAAAACCUCAACAUUAGCACCGAAUAUUUUAAACAUUUUAUAGCCCUUCAGCUGUUCUGUAGUGCCAGUUUGUUUUCCAUUCCCCUUGACAUCUCACAAUGCUAAGUGCCCAGUGACAGCCUGUAGAGGUUUCGCCAUAAUCCACCUUUAUCCAUUAACAGACACUCAAUCACUAAAGUGCUUACUAGACUAAACAUAUUUAUCCAACCAAAUCACACUUUACAAUGCAAAUCUGCCAAUCAGACCCCGGCUAUUAACAAGGAACUGCUUUAAGGGGAUUUUGGUGUUUGUGCUGUGAAGAGCCUGCUUACCUCCAACAAACCACUAAACCAAAUUAACAUAGCUGUAUCCUCAUAAAAGAAACCAGAUAUCCUGUUGUGAAAAUAGAGAGCUUGGUGGGACAGGCCUCCUUUGAUGGCUAACAGUGUGGCAGACAAGGCUUCAGACUUCAAAUCUGGCUACCACCAAGUCAUUACAAACCGCCAGCAUCAAGCUUUUGAUAACUUUAAAAGCAAAAUAAAAAUGUAGCGUUGGGGUAACUCAGUAAGUCGUCAACUUAUUCAGUUACUAUUAUAAUUGCAGUAAGUGCUGUAAUUGUUGGAUAAGGCUCCUUAAUUCUAAUUGCUCCUUCAACCAAGAUCAUGUUGUAAAAGUGCUUGCAUUAGCCAAAAA